GACGAACGCUGGCGGCGUGCCUAAUACAUGCAAGUAGAACGCUGAAGGAGGAGCUUGCUUCUCUGGAUGAGUUGCGAACGGGUGAGUAACGCGUAGGUAACCUGCCUGGUAGCGGGGGAUAACUAUUGGAAACGAUAGCUAAUACCGCAUAAUAUUGACUAUUGCAUGAUAGUCAGUUGAAAGGUGCAACUGCACCACUACCAGAUGGACCUGCGUUGUAUUAGCUAGUUGGUGGGGUAACGGCUCACCAAGGCGACGAUACAUAGCCGACCUGAGAGGGUGAUCGGCCACACUGGGACUGAGACACGGCCCAGACUCCUACGGGAGGCAGCAGUAGGGAAUCUUCGGCAAUAGACGGAAGUCUGACCGAGCAACGCCGCGUGAGUGAAGAAGGGUUUCGGAUCGUAAAGCUCUGUUGUAAGAGAAGAACGAGUGUGAGAGUGGAAAGCUCACACUGUGACGGUAUCUUACCAGAAAGGGACGGCUAACUACGUG
rnacentral:rRNA from 1 species